rnacentral:rRNA from 1 species
UACGGAGGGUGCAAGCGUUGCUCGGAAUUAUUGGGCGUAAAGGGUAGGUAGGUGGUCUCAUUUGUCUGGGGUGAAAGCCUUGAGCUUAACUCAAGAAGUGCCCCAGAAACGGUGAGACUAGAGUCCUGGAGAGGGUCGUGGAAUUCCCGGUGUAGCGGUGAAAUGCGUAGAUAUCGAGAGGAACACCUGCGGCGAAGGCGGGUUGCUGGGCUGACACUGACGCUGAUGCGCGAAAGCCAGGGGAGCGAACGGG